UACGUAGGGGGCUAGCGUUGUCCGGAAUCAUUGGGCGUAAAGCGCGUGUAGGCGGCCCGGUAAGUCCGCUGUGAAAGUCGGGGGCUCAACCCUCGGAAGCCGGUGGAUACUGUCGGGCUCGAGUACGGAAGAGGCGAGUGGAAUUCCUGGUGUAGCGGUGAAAUGCGUAGAUAUCUGGAGGAACACCGGUGGCGAAGGCGGCAUCCUGGACCGGCAUUGACGCUGAGGAGCGAAAGCCAGGGGAGCAAACGGG
rnacentral:rRNA from 1 species